CACGUAGGGCGCAAGCGUUGUCCGGAAUUAUUGGGCGUAAAGAGCUCGUAGGCGGUCUGCCACGUCCGCUGUGAAAACCUAGGGCUUAACCCUGGGCUUGCAGUAGAUACGGGCAGACUAGAGGUAGGUAGGGGAGAAUGGAAUUCCCGGUGUAGCGGUGAAAUGCGCAGAUAUCGGGAGGAACACCGGUGGCGAAGGCGGUUCUCUGGGCCUGUACUGACGCUGAGGAGCGAAAGCGUGGGGAGCGAACAGG
rnacentral:rRNA from 1 species